ANGACUCUCGGCAACGGAUAUCUCGGCUCUCGCAUCGAUGAAGAACGUAGCGAAAUGCGAUACUUGGUGUGAAUUGCAGAAUCCCGUGAACCAUCGAGUCUUUGAACGCAAGUUGCGCCCGAGACUUCGGUCGAGGGCACGCCUGCCUGGGCGUCA
rnacentral:rRNA from 1 species